UCUGUCUACUUUGUCUGUCUGUCUGUCUGUUUCGGUAUUAGAUUUUUGGUUUCAUGUGCUUAGAAGUGUUAAGUGUUGGACUGAGGGGUGGUAAAAGUUUGCAGUGUGGUGGUUAUAUACUUUGAAUAAUCAGAAACUUAAUUAAGAAUAUUAGUGUUUUCUGGAGAGAAACUGACAAUUUUUGGUAUGAUGUUUGUCGCUUUGAGUAACUGGAGAUAACUUGAGUUCAGUUAUCUGAAUAUUGUUUAUCUUAUCACAAUCCUGGAUAUUACAUUUCUGUUGCUUCAAGAAGUUAUGCUAGAAGCAAUGAAGAAAGAUGACUGCAAUAAUUUUAAGCUCAUGCAUAUAGGAAAAGCAGAGCUUCGCAGCCAAUAAUGAAAUUAUAAAAAAAUCUAGGAAAUAUCUGAACAUUCAAAAUAAUAUAUUAGGGGUAAUAUUUUAAAUUUAUUCUUUAAUUUGAUUUAGUUUUUUAUGACAAAUGUUAUAUUCUAUAUGCAUUUUCUUUUGUCACUGUUAUUAUAGGACACAUUAAAUUCAUCAGCUGCAACUGUCAUUAUGGGACAGAGGGAGUAGCUCUCAUUUUCUCCAUCCUUAAAAAUAGUAUGUUGUGCUAUGCUGAACAAGAACUGCAUAUCCUCAUUUCUUAUUUCUCUUUUGAAGUUAAAAUGUCAGAGGUUCAAAAGAGAAUAUACUAUAAUGUACAAUAAAUUUUGCAUUACUUUAUUUAAUUGCACAGUUUAUAAUGUAUUAUAUUAUGCAGAAUAUUUAGUUUUUAAUUUAUUUAAUGUUGGUGGUGUCUUACUUGCAGGAUUUACCAGUUUAAAUAAACUGUAAUUACAUAUGUUAUAGGAAUAUACCAUUUCAUGCAGUAUUUGCUGUUAUGUGCAGUUUCACAUAUCCAUAGUAAGUCUGAACAUAUUGCCUGUGGAUUUUGAACAUUACUGUAUUUUAAAACUAAGGUAUAGUUGAAUCCCACCACAGCAAAUUUCAAGGGACUGGAAGUUUCAUUUGUUAUAUCCACUCGAAUAAGAAAAAGGGGUUAUCUCAUGAAAACAUGUAAAAAUUGAAUGAUGAGUAACAAAAAAAAAAAAAAAAAAA